UUUUUCCUAAUAAAGAAAAGAUGCAACUUUAAGGCUAUAGUACAAAUAACAACUCUUGCAAAGACAAAGAACAACUAAAAACACCAAACCUGGUCAUUAAAUUAUUCCCCAUCUCAUUUUUCUAUGUGUAAUCUUGUCGUUUCUCUCUUUCUCAUACACAUAAACAGACUCUUAAUGUCCUCUAAACUAUUAUAAGAAGCAGAGGUUUCACAAGAU
rnacentral:lncRNA from 1 species